AUCGACGGCCCGCUUCAAAUCACCCCACAGAUUUCAAAUGAUAUUCAGGUCUGGGGACUGGGAUGGCCAUUGCAGAAUAUUGUACUUGUUCCUCUGCAUAAAUGCCAGAGUCUAUUUUGAGCAGUGUUUUGGGUCAUUGUCUUGUUGAAAUAUCCAGCCCCGGCGUAACUUCAACUUUGUUACUGAUUCCUCAAAAUUAUUAAGUGUGUGCUGCUAUUGGGUGGAAUCCAUGCAACCCUCAACUUUAACAAGAUCCCAGUACCGGCACUGGCCACACAGCAUGAUGGAACAUCCACCAAAUUUUACUGUGCUUGUUUUGCAACGCUGUGGUGUUUUGUUGCCAUGCAUAACACCCCUUGUUAUGACCAAACUGUUUUAGUCCACAGCACCUUCUUCCAAAAUGAAGCUGGCUUGUCGAAAUGUGCGUUUGCAUACCUCUAACGACUGUUUGUGGCGUGUGUGCCGAAAAGGCUUCUUCCACAUCACUCUCCCAUACAGCUUCUCCUUGUGCAAAGUGCGCUGAAUUGUUGAAUGAUGCACGGUGAGAUCAUCUGCAGCAAGAUUAUGUUUGUCAUUUGAAAGUGGUUCUGAGGCCCCCAUGUUGCCACUCUCUUCAGAGGAGAGUCAAAGAGAAUAGCAACUUGCAGUUGGCCACCUUACAUACCUUUUCUCAUGAUUGGAUGCAACUGUCUAUGAAGUUCAAGGCUUAAUGGGCUCACCAAACCAAUUGUGUGUUCCAAUUAAUCAGUGCUUGGUAGUUACAGGUAUUCAAAAUGACAAGGGUUUCCUAAAUUUAUGCACCUGUCUAAUUUCGUUUUGAUGCAUAUUGCACAUUUUCUGUUAAUCCAAUAAACCUCAUUUCACUACUGAAA